UGCCUUUGAGAUUAGUCUUUAAAAAGCGUUGCUGGGAGUAUCUGGAUGAUGUGGAAGCAGAAGUUGGGGAGUAUUGAGCCUGGGAUAUAAGGUCUAUAAAGUUAAAAAUGUUAAAUUAUAUCUCUGGUUGCAAUGGAUAAACCUAGAUUAUUUUGAUUUUUUAUUUUUUUGAGAGUGGGGGCCUCACUCUGUUGCCCAGGCUGGAGUGCAGUGGCACGAUCGUAGCUCACUAUAACCUCAAAUUCCUGUAUCUAGAUUUAAUUCAUAAAAUUUAGGGCUUAAAAUUGGCAUCUAACUCAGCUUAUUUUUCAGCUUCAUCAAUUUUGAGCAAAUGUGUCAAAACUUGGAGAGAGUUUUUUGCCCAAUAGUCGCAUGACCAAGUAAAAGUGAAGGAGGUGACAAGAGACUUGGACUGUGGUAGGUAGAAGCGGAUAGACUGAGAGCUACUUAAAUUAGUAGGAGUUGAGAAUUAACCAGAUUUGCAGGGUGACAAAGAAUAGCUCCCAAAUUUCUGGCUUAAGCAACUGGAUAUUUGGCACUACCAUUUGCUGAAAGAGCAUCUCCCCCACCCCAAAAGUAGGAAGGGAGAAGGAUAGGAAGACGGGUUCCAUUCCUGUUGAACUUGUGAGCCUGAGACACGUGAACGUAGACAUUAUUCACUGGACAUAUGGGUCACUGGAUAUAGGGGUCUACAGCUCAGAGGAGAGUUUUGAGCUGCAGAUGUAGACUUAGCAAACAAUGAUUAAAGCUGUGGGAAAUAUGCAAUUAUUUGGAGACAAUGUGAGGUGAGAGAAGAAGGGGCCAGAAAGAUCCCUGAACAACUUCAGUGUUUAGAGGUUGGAUACAGUAGGAGGAACUAGAAAAGGAGGAGAUAGAAAAAGCAGCCAGAGGAAGAGGAAAACCACAAGGAGCAGUGCCAGGAGAAUAAUUAGGAGAAGGGUGUGGUCAGCUGUUUCAAAUGCUGCUGAGACAUGAAAUCAGUGAGAACUCAGUGUCCUUUGGACUUGGAGACAGAAGUGAAGGUGAUCUUGGCAAGAGCAACUGCAAUGAAAUGGUGGUAAGAAAAAUCAGAUUGCUGGUGGUGGUGCAGAGACCUAUUCUUGGCCCCCAAUUGCAAAUCUCUCCUCUCUUCUUAGAAAUAGACCUCACAUUUUUUGUUCACGGCAUCCUAGAAUAAAAACUACAUUUCACAGUCUCCUUUGUGUGGUCUUGGGGCUAAGUGCUGGCCAAUGGAAUGUACGCAGAAGUGUCACAAGUGACUUCCAGGAAGCAUUCUUCAAGCUUCAAGGGAGGGGUGGGCCCUUUUUGUUGCCUUCCUCCUUCCUAUUGGCCAGAAAGCGUAAGCAUCAUAUUGGACCAUGAGGUAGUGAGGAACAUUUGGAAGCCACAAGUUGAGAAUGGCAAAACCUGAGAGAAAUUAAGUGAGGUGAAUCACGAAAUGGGAGAUGAAAGGAUGAGGUGUUGGGGGGAGCGUAUGAAGAUCUGAGGAGACAAGGCAGAUUUAAAACAGUUGCUGCAGAGAGGAGGAGACAGCGAGCUGACCCAACCCUCAGCUCCAGUGGAGAAGCAGGGCUUCAUCUUCUGGACACCAGCACAUCUUAGAUUGUGCCUUCCUUGUCAACACCAAGGCAAGCUGAGCCAGGAGGAUAGUGGAAGGUCACACAGGUAGAAAACCUGCUGACCAAACUGCCCCUGGUAAGAGUUACUUGGGAAGCUGAACCAAAGAUUUUUGCUGCUAUGUUGACUCACAGUAGAAUGUGAGCAGACAAGACACUGUAGAUGAGCCACUCCUGAGGAGCUCUGUUAAAUAUAGAUAAAGUGGAGGAGGGAGUCAGGCUGGCUGCCUUCCUAUUUAGGAUCUAGCAGAAACCCCAUUAGGAAAUAUUCCGUUCUGAAUGGCUUCUGGCUAAAUGGCUUGUGAGGAAACAGCCUGAUCAAUGGUAAGUACGACUGAAGACCCAGUGCUAUGGACUGAAUUGUGUCUUCCUCAGAUUCAUAUGUUGAAACCCUAACCAGCAAUGUGACAGUAUCUAGAGAUAGGAUCUUUAGGAGGUAAUUAAGAUUAAAAUGAGGAUAUAAGGGUGAGGCUCUAUUGCAAUAGACUGUGGCCUUAUAGGAAGAGGGAGAGAGAGAGACCUUUCUUUUUCUCCCUCUCUCCCAUGUGAGGACAGUGAGAAGGCAGCCACCUGCAAGCCAGGAAGCAUGCCCUCAGCCAGAAGCAGACCACACUGGCACCCUGAUCUCAGACUUCUGGCUUCCAGAACUGUGAGAAAUAUACUUUCUGUUGUUUAAGCUGUGCAGCCUAUCAUAUUUUGUUAUGGCAGCCUGAGCAGACUAAGACACCCAGUGUCUCUGGGGUGAGAGGUAGGGUAGGGGUGUCCUCUCACUUCUAAACCACUUCCCUGGAGAGGAAGGCAGGAGGAGGGUGCCCAGCUGGGAGCCACGGAGGGAAGCCUGGCUCUGGCCACACAACACAAGCUUUAGCAACUUCGUGGGACCCUGGAAUAUAACAGGGAUUCCCUACUGUAGGAGGCUUGGUGGAACUACUUCAGCCUGGGAAACAGAGAGAAUCUACUUUUUAACUGGGAAUCUGGCAGAAGCUAAAAGGAACUUAAGACAUUUCUCAACAAUCUCACACCUGAAAGAUGGCUUAGCAAAUUCCAGCUGUCACUGUCUGCCCAUCCUUCUCCUGCAGCACCAGACCUAAUACAUUUUGGGUUCGAUCCCUUAAUAUGUGUAAGCAUUUACACUGCAAGUAAGAGGAAAUUCUCGCUGGAAUGACCAGGCCAAGAAAAGAAAAAUGGAAACGACCUAAAAUGCCUAACAAUGGAAAUGAGUUGAAUCCAUCUGGCUCAUAGACAUGACGAAAUACUGAAUGGCCACCAUAAAUGGACAUAUGUUUAUUGAUGAGGAAAGAUCUUUAUAACAUAUUGUCAAGUGAACAAAAAAGCAUGCUAUAAAAAAAGGUCAUGCAGAAUAAUCUUAUUUUGUAAAAAAAAAAAAAGUGUGUAUUAGUCCA
rnacentral:lncRNA from 1 species